GAAGGUCUAAGGCUGGGACCUCCUGCAGUCCUAACUAGGCUAUCCCUGAGUUCAGAGGUGAGUUCAGAAAGCAGGGCUCCACACCUGGAUAGGAGAGGCCCCAAGGGGACAGAUGCAUCCCUCACUAGAGCUUGCAACAGACUCCUGGUCACUCAUUUUGUUCAGUAAGUGGCUAUCCUUCUUGCCAGGAGAAGUACUCAUUU
rnacentral:lncRNA from 14 species